GACAGAGGUGGCAAGCGUUGUUCGGAUUCAUUGGGUGUAAAGGGCAGGUAGGUAGUUGUGUAAGUCUGGUGUGAAAUCCCAUGGCUCAACCAUGGAACUGCAUUGGAAACUGCAUGACUUGAGUAUCGGAGAGGUGAGGGGAAUUCUCGGUGUAAGGGUGAAAUCUGUAGAUAUCGAGAGGAACACCAGUGGCGAAGGCGCCUCACUGGCCGAUUACUGACACUGAGCUGCGAAAGCAAGGGGAGCAAACAGGAUUAGAUACCCUGGUAGUCCUUGCCGUAAAUGAUGUGGAUUAGGUAUUAGAGGUGUCGAUCCCUCUAGCGCCGACGCUAACGCAUUAAAUCCACCACCUGGGGAGUACGGUCGCAAGACUGAAACUCAAAGAAAUUGACGGGGACCCGCACAAGCGGUGGAGCAUGUGGUUUAAUUCGAGGCUACGCGAAGAACCUUACCCAGGCUUGACUUGUAGUUGACAGCCCAUGAAAGUGGGUCUUCUCGCAAGAGACAAUUACACAGGUGCUGCAUGGCUGUCGUCAGCUCGUGCUGUGAAGUGUUGGGUUAAGUCCCGCAACGAGCGCAACCUUUGCCCUUAGUUGCCAUCACGUCAUGGUGGGCACUCUAGGGGGACUGCCGGUGAUUAACUGGAGGAAGGAGGAGAUGACGUCAAGUCAGUAUGGCCCUUAUGCCUGGGGCUACACACGUGCUACAAUGGCCACGACAAAGGGCUGCGAUCCCGCAAGGGGGAGCAAAUCCCAAAAAAAUGGCCUCAGUUCAGAUUGAAGGCUGCAACUCGCCUUCAUGAAGUCGGAAUCGCUAGUAACGGUAGAUCAGCCACGCUGCCGUGAAUACGUUCCCGGGUCU
rnacentral:rRNA from 1 species